rnacentral:rRNA from 1 species
UACGAAGGGGGCAAGCGUUGUUCGGAAUUACUGGGCGUAAAGGGCGCGUAGGCGGCCGAUCAAGUCAGGCGUGAAAUUCCCGGGCUCAACCUGGGGGGCUGCGCUUGAUACUGAUUGGCUUGAAUGCGGGAGAGGAUAGUGGAAUUCCCAGUGUAGAGGUGAAAUUCGUAGAUAUUGGGAAGAACACCGGUGGCGAAGGCGGCUAUCUGGCCCGUAAUUGACGACUG